rnacentral:rRNA from 1 species
UUUUGAACUUAGUGGCGGACUGGUGAGUAACGCGUGAGCAACCUGCCUACUAGAGGGGAAUAACAGUGAGAAAUCAUUGCUAAUACCGCAUAUGCCAUGAACAUCACAUGAUGAAAAUGGGAAAAGAGUAAUCUGCUAGUAGAUGGGCUCGCGUCUGAUUAGAUAGUUGGUGGGGUAACGGCCUACCAAGUCGACGAUCAGUAGCCGGACUGAGAGGUUGAACGGCCACAUUGGGACUGAGAUACGGCCCAGACUCC